rnacentral:rRNA from 1 species
UCCAGACUCCUACGGGAGGCAGCAGUGGGGAAUAUUGCACAAUGGGGGAAACCCUGAUGCAGCGACGCCGCGUGAGUGAAGAAGUAUUUCGGUAUGUAAAGCUCUCUCAGCAGGAAAGAAAAUGACGGUACCUGACUAAGAAGCCCCGGCUAACUACGUGCCAGCAGCCGCGGUAAUACGUAGGGGGCAAGCGUUAUCCGGAUUUACUGGGUGUAAAGGGAGCGUAGACGGUGAAGCAAGUCUGAAGUGAAAGGCGGGGGCUCAACCCCCGGACUGCUUUGGAAACUGUUUGACUGGAGUGCAGGAGAGGUAAGUGGAAUUCCUAGUGUAGCGGUGAAAUGCGUAGAUAUUAGGAGGAACACCAGUGGCGAAGGCGGCUUACUGGACGGUAACUGACGUUGAGGCCCGAAAGCGUGGGGAGCAAACAGGAUUAGAUACCCUCGUA